UACAGAGGGUGCAAGCGUUAAUCGGAAUUACUGGGCGUAAAGCGUGCGCAGGCGGUUCUCCAAGUCCGUUGUGAAAGCCCCGGGCUCAACCUGGGAAUGGCAGUGGAAACUAGGGGACUGGAAUCUGGCGAGAGGGGGGUGGAAUGCCGCGGUGUAGCAGUGAAAUGCGUAGAGAUGCGGCGGAACACCGAUGGCGAAGGCAG
rnacentral:rRNA from 1 species